UGGCAACAGGUUGAUACUUUAACUCUUCUAACUGUUUUGAUCAUCUUCCAAAAAAUGAAAAAGGCUCGUGAUAAAGUUAAAAGUGAGAGUGGAACAGCAGGUCCCUCCCAGCAUGAACAGUGUUCAUCAGGACGCAGUCAUAGCUCCAGCUCAGGAUCUGCCCCUGGCUUUUUGGAAGAGACUCACCUUUCUUCUUUUCAGGAGUGUAUACUGAAUUUCUCUGAAGAGGAGUGGGAGGAUUUCAGCAGCCUGCUGAACACUCCUAUGACAAGGACUCAGUUCUCCGAACUCUGCAUGGCCAUCUUGAAGGUAGUGAGUCUUAGCUCCAUGACAGUGAUUGUACCUGCGUACGUCUCCGUGGCGAAGGAUGCUGGAACUCCAGUCAGCAGAACCUCAACAUCCACAACCUUUUCCCUCACCUCAAUUGAAAGGUCACUGGCUGGGUCAAUGGACACCGAUGGGGAGUUCCUGGAUAAGAGCAGUUCAAUCAGAAGUGGCUCUGCUGCAUCACCUGAAAUGACAAGUGGCCCUUUGAGAGAAAUGAUGCACAGGAUGAAAGCUGCCCUGGCUACCUUGAGGAGAACUCAUACCUCUGAGGUCUCUGUGACAGCUGUUUUACGCUCUGUGUCCAAACUCUCCACUCACACUGGUGAGCACAUCGUAUCCAACGUCUCUGAAGCCAUGAGAGAUGCGCAACAUGGAAAUACAUUCCACGACUCGACUUGCAUCAACACAAUCCUGGAAAGGCUCGUAUCCAGUGGGAAUAUCCACAAGAUCGCCAAGAACCUUGUCAGUCACCUUCAGGAUGUCCUCAUGAAUGAAAACGUCAGCCGGACAUCCAUUCCUGUGGCUGCUAGUGGAAGCACAUCAGAUUCUGAGACUUUGCCAAAUGGAACUCCAAAGCGGACUUUAAGUGCCUCUCACAUGGUUUACUCCUACGCAGAAGAAGCCAUCAAGGAUUUGCUUCAACCGUAUUUUCUUCCUGGUAUGGUUCAGAGCGCCGGUGAGGAUGUUGCCUCGGCCAGAGUUCCUCUUCUCAGGAUUCAAAGCUUCCAAUCUUCUGAUGCAGGAAGAAGUAUCCCCCAUGUGCCCUCUGAAGCGGAGUGCAAAUUUAAAGAUGUGGCCAAUCUGUUGACUCGAGUGAUGACCUUCCAGGUCAUGUAUAUAGUUGAUUCCGAGCUGGAGAAACAUCAAAAGUCAUCUUCUUCCCGGUUGUCUGAUAGAUCCAGGAUGCUGUCAUCAGCUGUUAGAGACGUAGAUGACACAGCUAUGGAACGUUCCUCCACUCGACCCCCUCUGCUUCAUACCAACCCUGAUCACUAUGGCGGUCGGUUCUCUGAAAGUGGUUUCUUUCAGAAUUGAGAUAUUCUGACUCUGCUCAGUCUGGUGCAGUGGAUGACGUCAGAGCCACCACAUCCUCUACCAGGAGCCAAAGUGCCAAAUCUGCCACUGCAGAUCAUGAGCCAGACAUGGCACUGAACUACGCAUCCCAGAAACUUGGGGACCCACUAGAUCUGUUCACCAGGGUUAUGGUUCACCAGGUCAUGGAUAUCCUCCACGUGGAACUGACCAGGCACCAAACUGAAGUUGGCCCCAUUGUGCAGCAUCAGAGUGCAGGACGUCCAUCCACCGGGACCUCUGUGCCAGACAGCAGUGACUAUGGCUGUCUUGUCACAGUUCUGAUGCUCAGACUGCUGGCCAAAAUCAUGGAUCAACAAACUGCCUCUGCCGAUAUGACGGAUUCCUCCCGAGAGUUGAUUCAGAAAGUCCUCUCUGAGUUCAGCAGUGCCUCAGGAACGCCGAACUUCCUGACAUAUGAAAGCAACACCAAGAUCCAGACUUUGUACAGAAGCAUGGACAAGUUCCUUCUGAAGGAGUUUGGACCUGAGGCCAUCCUGCAAAGAGCUGUGGAGACACAGGAUGUCUCCUUUGAUAACAUCUUGCUCACGGCAUUGAGGAAAGAGCUGCUGCCUCAUUGUGACACAGAGGCAACUUCUCCCCCAUCAACUCCGACUGCUGCACCCUCUGAGCCACUUGAACCUGUGCCUGGAGCAGCAUCUGGGCAAACCACCAGGAAGAGGCCCAAACUGAGGUUCAGUAUGAAGAUGCCAAAAAGACGCAGCAAGAAGGUGGCUCCCACUAGUGCCUUUUCUGACUCAAGUAAGUUUUAAUACUAUUAUUGGUGGUGUUGUUGAUGAUGGUGUUUCUGUAGCUGAUGUUGUUCGGUUUGGUGCUCAUUUUUCCUCUCUUCGGCAGCUGGGCAUGUGGAGAGUCCAGCCUCUCGUACACCAUCUAAUAAGGCUACUCCUGUUGUGUCUGUGUCGGGCCAGAAGACUCGUAAACGCUCCUUUUUCAUCAGGAUGUUCGCUUGCUGCAUUCAAGGCACAUCUGAACCUUGAACAUUUACUCUCUCUCUUUCUCCCUCUCUGUCUGUCUUUCUCUCUCUCUCUCUCUCUCUCUCUCUCUCUCUCACACACACCUUUCCAUGAAUAAAUUCACCUUUCCCUAA